AGAGUUUGAUCCUGGCUCAGGAUGAACGCUGGCGGCGUGCUUAACACAUGCAAGUCGAACGGUGAACGCGGAGCUUGCUCUGUGGGAUCAGUGGCGAACGGGUGAGUAACACGUGAGCAACCUGCCCCUGACUCUGGGAUAAGCGCUGGAAACGGCGUCUAAUACUGGAUAUGUGACGUGAUCGCAUGGUCUGCGUCUGGAAAGAAUUUCGGUUGGGGAUGGGCUCGCGGCCUAUCAGCUUGUUGGUGAGGUAAUGGCUCACCAAGGCGUCGACGGGUAGCCGGCCUGAGAGGGUGACCGGCCACACUGGGACUGAGACACGGCCCAGACUCCUACGGGAGGCAGCAGUGGGGAAUAUUGCACAAUGGGCGCAAGCCUGAUGCAGCAACGCCGCGUGAGGGACGACGGCCUUCGGGUUGUAAACCUCUUUUAGCAGGGAAGAAGCGAAAGUGACGGUACCUGCAGAAAAAGCGCCGGCUAACUACGUGCCAGCAGCCGCGGUAAUACGUAGGGCGCAAGCGUUAUCCGGAAUUAUUGGGCGUAAAGAGCUCGUAGGCGGUUUGUCGCGUCUGCUGUGAAAUCCGGAGGCUCAACCUCCGGCCUGCAGUGGGUACGGGCAGACUAGAGUGCGGUAGGGGAGAUUAGAAUUCCUGGUGUAGCGGUGGAAUGCGCAGAUAUCAGGAGGAACACCGAUGGCGAAGGCAGAUCUCUGGGCCGUAACUGACGCUGAGGAGCGAAAGGGUGGGGAGCAAACAGGAUUAGAUACCCUGGUAGUCC
rnacentral:rRNA from 1 species